CAAAAACCACUUUAUUGAAAAAGCAGAUUACAUAAACCUACGGUUAAAUGAUACGAACCGACUUUUCAUACAUUAAAUAACUUUAAACUUUUCACGUUUAGAUAAAUAAAUCUACUUUGCUUUUUCUUUAUUUAUGAAAUAGCUAGGAAAUCAAAACAUUGUACGAUAAAAAAGAGUGAUGCAACAGAACGUAAGAUGUGCCGUUUUAAAGAACUAACUGAAGGAAAGCUACGUUCACUGAAUCUCUGAUAAAUGCGGGAAAUACAUUCUACACUCUUUAUUUACAGGGACUCUAGCAUUGUGCUAUGCAAUAGUAGUAUGUUUUAAAAGUGGAUUAAGACAACAAGGAGAAAAAUAUUACGCGACACACUUGUAGGAAUGAUCUGAAAGCGGAAACAUCUGAGGUUACUCAACUGUUCAGGGAAAUAUUCUGUCAUUAUAUUCAAUACUCACGCUGUCGAUUACCACAGAAAACACCUCGGUUGUGAGAAGUGAGUAGAAAGGUUUUCUCUGGCAGUCGACAGCACGUCACAGACGCUGUACAUCAAUCCAGAAUAUUCCUUCAGGAAACCCCCCUCUCCAAAAACACGGUCAUGUGCUUCCGGUACAGUGAUCAGUCAGCACACACACAUCUUCACACCGGUUUUACGGUCUGCUUUGCAGAUAAGAAGUCACUGGAUUUAAAAACGACUCUCUGUAUCAGGUCUUCUCAGGUCAGGAAACACAUAGAGCCCGGUUCUGUCAGUAGUAUUACAGCAGACGUCUGUGUGGACAGUGACCCGAGAAGCAUUUAACACACUUGAGGAACAGUUCAGCCAAAAAUGAAUUUUCGGUAAAAAUGUGCUCAUCCUCAGGCCAUCCAAGAUGUAGAUUUACAGAAAUGUAGCAUCGCAUCAGUGUCUCAUCAAUGGAUGCUCUGCAGUGAAUGGGUGCCGUCAGAAUGAGAGUCCAAACAGCUGAUAAAAACAUCACACCACUCCAGUCCAUCAGUUAACAUCUGGAGAAGACAAAAACUGAAAUAAAUCCAUCACAACAUUUUCACUUCAAACCUUCCGGCUACAAUACGAGUCCUCCAUAAUAUCCAUAAUAUUGUAUUCUACUGCGAAAAAGUCAUCUGGUCUGAAUCAGGAGAGAAAUCUGUACACAUCAAGCACUGUUUACAAGCCAAAACAGCUCUAAUCAAAUAUGUGGCUGGAUUCUGAUGCGAGAUACAAUGGUAGAUUGAUUUUUUUUUUUUACUGAAGGAAGCGUUAUUAUAAAUUAUGAACUCAUAUUUAAGUCGGAAGAAACGGUUUGAAGUUAAAAACAUCUUAAUGUUAAUGUUAACUGAUGGACUGGAGUGCUGUGGAUUAUUGUGAUGUUUUUAUCAGCUGUUCUUACUCUCAUUCUGACGGCACCCAUUCACUGCAGAGCAUCCAUUGCUGAGACACUGAUGCAAUGCUACAUUUCUCCAAACCUGAGGAAGAAACAAACUCAUCUACAUCUUGAAUGGGCUGAGGGUGAGUAAAAUUACAGAAAAUUUUCAUUUUUGGGUGAACUAUACCUUUAAGCGUCUAAAUACCCAUCAGGGUCCCUGUAUUUGACACACACACUCACACACACACACACACACACACACACACACACACACACACACACACACACACACACACACAGCGGCCCAGCCACUAGUGUACAUGAACAUAUACACAACUACACACACACACAGACUCUUUUCCACAUACACGCUCACUUAUGUCCUAAACAGGUGCGACGUGAUGCAAUAAGCUUCCAGCAACACAUCAUUUUUGUUCACGUGAAUCCAGAAAAGAAGCAGCUAAAAUAUCAGUAAUUUUGCCAUCAUUCCCAGACUUCUACAGGUGUUGUUUUCAUGACUUUACUAUUAUUCUGACAUGUGCAAAAUGUUCUGUCGCCUUCCGCUUCAUUGCAUCGCAGCUGCCAAAGACGGCGUGUCGCACACAAACACAGGACGAACGCAGCAGGUCUCCGGCCUGGUUGAGUCCAGCACAUCCAGGCUUGACCUCUGACCCCUGCACACCUCUAGAGUCCCUCAAGUGUCUCCUGAGACACAGUACAGUGCGUCUCCUCCACGUUAAGGAAUAUGUAAGGCAGGAAGGCACCUCAUCAAGAGACAAACCAGUGUCUGAAGAGCACGACGUAAGAGUUCACAGAUCCAGCCCCGUUCUGCUGGUGUCAGGUCGUAACGGCCUGAUGCAUGUCAGACCUCAGCAAAAUAUACAUUUGUUAGUCCAUCUAUGUGCACCUGGUGAAGUUAAUGCCAGUGAUGCAUCAGUGUUCGGCCCAUUGCUGCCAUUAAAUUGAUGCUUAAAGGCACAGUUCACCAUUAUUUACUCACCCUCACGUCGUUCCAAAACGGAACAAUUCAUGGACAAUUUAAGGCAAGCCACCACAGGAAAAUAAGGAAAAAUGUAACUAAUAGACAUCAUCAUACUUUCCUCGACUGACUGAUCAUAGUACAUUAAGAUAAUUGUUUUGUAUUACAAGUUUUCUGAAAUGUUGUUCAAAAGAUGCAUUGUUAAAUACACUGCAAAAAAUUAAUUUCUUAGUAGUUUUGUCUUGUUUUCAAAUACAAAUAUCUAAACAUCCUUAAAUCAAGA
ensembl:lncRNA